AUUGAACGCUGGCGGCAUGCCUUACACAUGCAAGUCGAACGGUAACGGGCCUUCGGGUGCCGACGAGUGGCGAACGGGUGAGUAAUACAUCGGAACGUGCCCGAUCGUGGGGGAUAACGAGGCGAAAGCUUUGCUAAUACCGCAUACGAUCUACGGAUGACAGCAGGGGACCGCAAGGCCUUGCGCGGACGGAGCGGCCGAUGGCAGAUUAGGUAGUUGGUGGGAUAAAAGCUUACCAAGGCGAGGAUCUGUAGCUGGUCUGAGAGGAUGAUCAGCCACACUGGGAAUGAGACACGGCGGAGACUGCUACGGGAGGCGGCAGUGGGGAAUAUAGGAGAAUGGGUGAAAGACUGAUCUAGCAAUGGUGCGGGAGUGAGGAAGGCCGGAGGGAUGUAAAGCUAGUUUAAACGGGAUGGUAAUGACAGGAACGGGAGAAUAAGCUCCGGCUAACUCCGUG
rnacentral:rRNA from 1 species